UACGUAGGGUGCAAGCGUUGUCCGGAAUUAUUGGGCGUAAAGAGCUUGUAGGCGGUUUGUCGCGUCUGCUGUGAAAUUUCGGGGCUCAACCCCGAACUUGCAGUGGGUACGGGCAGACUAGAGUGUGGUAGGGGAGAACGGAAUUCCCGGUGUAGCGGUGAAAUGCGCAGAUAUCGGGAGGAACACCGGUGGCGAAGGGCGGGUUCUCUGGGCCUGUACUGACGCUGAGGAGCGAAAGCGUGGGGAGCAAACAGG
rnacentral:rRNA from 1 species